rnacentral:rRNA from 1 species
AGCGCAGGCGGUCUUUUAAGUCUAAUGUGAAAGCCUUCGACUCAACCGAAGAAGUGCAUUGGAAACUGGGAGACUUGAGUGCAGAAGAGGACAGUGGAACUCCAUGUGUAGCGGUGAAAUGCGUAGAUAUAUGGAAGAACACCAGUGGCGAAGGCGGCUGUCUGGUCUGCAACUGACGCUGAGGCUCGAAAGCAUGGGUAGCGAACA